AACGUAGGAGACAACGUUAUCCGGAGUUGACUGGCGUAAAGGGCGUGAGUAGGCGGUUAGUUAAGUCUGGGCGAUGAAAGCGUCUACGGCUAACCGGGAGAGGUCGUGGAUACUGGCUGACUAGAGGACGGUAGAGGCGUGUGGAAUUCCGGGUGUAGUGGUGAAAUGCGUAGAGAUCCGGAGGAACACCAGUGGCGAAGGCGACACGCUGGGCCGUACCUGACGCUAAAGCGCGGACAGACAUGGGGAGCAAACGGG
rnacentral:rRNA from 1 species